UAGAAAAACUGAAGAAUGUUUCAUUGCUGAGAUCGUGAUGCAGCUACAAUGUAUGAUUACUCAAGCACACUUGCAUUUCCUUGUUUACCGACUUUCGCACUGUGUUAUCUUCUACCAGCUGCUUAUUUUCCAAGUGUCACUGCGCAGAUAUUGCUUGCAAAGUACAUUAUUAUUCAUAUUUUACAUGUAUACCCCUCUUUAACUGUCACAGAAACCGAUAUGUUUUCUUUUUCGAAAUUCUGUGGCUGAAAGAAAGUAAUGAGAUGCGUGGGUCGAUGUUUUGCAAUUCCUGAGUCACAGUCCGUGUUUAAAUACGCUGAAAUCUUACCGCAGUCUUACCGCAGAUCUACCCGAGAGAACUUGUGCAGCAACCAGCAUUACGAUGUCGGCUGUGAAAGCUGCAUUCGUCCUCAUGCUUGCGCUCACAGUCAUGGUGAGAUCGAUCUCCAGCACCAAUACCAAAAGUGCAGCGUGUUACGACAGAAGUUGCACUUACGAAGAAGACCAUCAAUGCGGACUCGGAUGCAAGUGUGUCCCUUACGGUGAACCCCCGGUUUGGAACUGCACAGUUGCAGCUCCAUGGCGACGUUAAUAGAACGAACCAUAUGAGACUUGAGAAUAGAAGUUGUUAUGAGAAUAAAAGUUGCUGCCUCUAAUGAGAAAAAGUUCAGGUGAAUUUUUUUUUCGACCACAGCGGUGGCCGAGAGGUCAAGUAUCCGCCUUGAACGUGAAGGAGAGUACUACCUUCAUGUUCUUUAACUGUCAAGAACACACUUGGCUUGUUACAGCGAAGCUGUAUACCUCUACCAGCCAAGGAAAUUUUCGUGUCGUUGGGUAAGCGAAAAAGUCACAGGCCUGUGCGGCACACGCAGCACAGUCACAGCGUAAGCUGGUGGAGCGGCUCAAGAGUAGCUCCAAUUUCGGCACCACGCACAACAGGGUCUUAGCGGCAAAUUCUCUUCGCCUCGUUUUGACGAGAACGAUCUGAACUGUCCGCCCGGCGUCGACGGCGAGCUGCGACUUGUAAUGCUCUCUGCACAGCAGUCUGCUGAGCCCGAUGAUGCCUGGUUGUAGCCGCGCACGUAGCUCUAUGAUUCGCUUCUUCAGCAGCGGUUCGCACCUUGCGAGGCGACGCCAUAACGUGU